UGAACAUUUGUCCUACAUUGAGAAG
rnacentral:piRNA from 1 species